CGUGGGUAACCUGCCCAAGAGACUGGGAUAACACCUGGAAACAGAUGCUAAUACCGGAUAACAACACUAGACGCAUGUCUAGAGUUUAAAGAUGGUUCUGCUAUCACUCUUGGAUGGACCUGCGGUGCAUUAGCUAGUUGGUAAGGUAACGGCUUACCAAGGCAAUGAUGCAUAGCCGAGUUGAGAGACUGAUCGGCCACAUUGGGACUGAGACACGGCCCAAACUCCUACGGAAGGCAGCAG
rnacentral:rRNA from 1 species